rnacentral:rRNA from 1 species
GACGGAGGUCCCGAGCGUUGUUCGGAAUUAUUGGGCUUAAAGCGCGUGUAGGCGGAAUGGUAAGUACCUUGUGAAAUCCCUGGACUCAAUCCGGGAACUGCUUGGUAUACUGCCGAUCUUGAGGCAGGUAGGGGUCACUGGAACCUUAGGUGGAGCGGUGAAAUGCGUAGAUAUCUAAGGGAACGCCUGUGGCGAAAGCGGGUGACUGGGCCUGUCCUGACGCUGAGACGCGAAAGCGUAGGGAGCAAAC